CGAGCCGAGCCGAGCCGAGCUAAGCAGCCUCUGGGCCCAAAUGCACUGGCAUGAAAACUCUCAGCCAAGGGGCAGCAGGACACGGCCGUGUGGCCCUCACCAUCUCUGAUGUGCUCAGCUGAACAGUGAGGGCCCACAGAGGUCUAGAGAGGCUCAGACACCAAAGGCAGCUGCUCUACCCUGGAGUGCCAGCCAGCUGCUUACCUGGAACUUUGUCCCUGUUCUUCACCAGCCACAGGAAGAGGGGCCGGAUGCCACAGGAGCAGGUCCAGGGGUUGUCUUCAAGGGUCAGAACUUAUGAAGAGCAAUGCCAAUGGCCCCCAGACUACCUUCCAGUGCGAUUCUGCUCCGCCCAUCUCAACCGGUCCUAAAAUCAGAGGAAAACCCAUCGUUUUUCUUCGGCAGCCUCCGGGAAGUGGAAACCCCUUUAAGUGGAUACAUUGGAUACAUUUCCACCAUCGAUCAAGGGCUCUCUCACUUGAGAGCUGCCCAAUUAUUUGGUGACGGAGUCCAUCUGGAACACCCGUGUAGGAAAAGGAGAAACAACGUUUGAAUAGGACUGGAAACUCCCCAUCCUACCCCACCGUGCCACAUGGGACGUGGGGUCCUGCCAGGGAGCUGGGCCCUUCCCGAGGGAGGGCACCUCUGGGCAUCCUCCUCCGCCCCAUGGGUCGGGCAGCCAGAGCAUCACCUCUCCUCCCCGAGACCUCUCAAGAGACCCUCUGGGCCCUACCUGGCCCUGCUAACUUGAGGCAGGCUUCUCUAGGCCUCAACGGGCCUCACCCAGGCAGGAACUGGAGCAAGAAGAGGAUAAGUGAUGCAGCCCUAGACACCUGCGCCUCCGAGGCCUCCGAGGGCCAGAACAACAAGUGACUGAAGCCUCUUGCGACAGACGUGCAGUUGCUGGUACUGUAUCUACCAAGAGGAGGCCAACUUCACAAGAUAGAGUUACUGGUGUCCUGGCCAACAAUAGCCACAGAAACACAAUUAUAGGCUCCUUCCUUGCCUGCCUCCUCCAACUCCUCUGCCCAGCACUGCCCUGGAUGUUAGUCAUGAAACCACCUUUUGCACAAACGCCUGAAGUGCUCACCUCCCACCCACAGGAGAAACAACCCAUAGGA